rnacentral:rRNA from 1 species
UACAGAGGUGGCAAGCGUUGUUCGGAAUUACUGGGCGUAAAGGGCGCGUAGGCGGUCUUGUAAGUCUUGUGUGAAAUCCCUCGGCUUAACUGAGGAACUGCACGGGAUACUGCAUGACUUGAGAUCGGGAGAGGGAAGCGGAAUUCCGGGUGUAGCGGUGAAAUGCGUAGAUAUCCGGAGGAACACCGGUGGCGAAGGCGGCUUCCUGGACCGACACUGACGCUGAGGCGCGAAAGCUAGGGGAGCAAACGUG